rnacentral:rRNA from 1 species
GACAGAGGCCUCAAGCGUUAGGCGGAAUCACUGGGCUUAAAGCGUGUGUAGGCGGAUCGUUAAGUACCUUGUGAAAUCCCACGGCUCACCCGUGGAACUGCUGGGUAUACUGGCGAUCUUGGGCCAACUAGGGGCAGCCGGAACAAGCGGUGGAGCGGUGAAGUGCGUAGAUAUCGCUUGGAACGCCGAAGGUGAAAACAGGCUGCUGGGGUUGUGCCGACGCUGAGACACGAAAGCCAGGGGAGCAAACGGG